AACAAAUUGCUGUAUAAAAACGGCCAAAACUGAACAGUAUCAUACUGUUUCUAUUGAAAACGGUACUGCACCGUGAAAAACAAUGCAUUCUGGGCAAUUAUUACUGUUUUUAAUAAAAUACUGUAAUAUACUGUGAGUAGCAUUGCAUUUUGGGAAUGAUGUUAGAUUCAACGGCAAGGAGACUCUCUUUAAACAGAACGCUACUGUAUUUCACAAGAAGACACGUUGUUGUGACAUGUGGAAGCAACCUCUAGAAUUUUCUUUACAAGGACUAUCCAUUUGAAUCCUGCAUUUUAUGAGCCAAUCCGGUGGAAAAGACCAUGUGACUGCUGGGCACUGGAUGAUCAGUCUUGAGAGCCAUAUUGUAUGUGAGGGCAUUCAACCAACCUUUGUGACAGGGCUUGCUGCACUGUUUUCAAUGUACUACACCUACAAUAUCAAGAAGAGGCUGCAUGUACACUUGAAUUCAUCCAGAGGCCCUUUCUUGAUAUCAACCCUGAAAGAGGGACCAAGGCCAGCUGUGGCAAGAUCGUCUCCAAGAGGACAGGAAAUACUGUUCAAAAGAAGUUGGUCACUGUCAACCCCUGUGUUUCAACUCAGCUAAAAAACCUCAUGGACUUCGAGUGGAAUUUCAUAUAGGUUAGUGAGAACUUUCUAACCAGGCUAUAAGUAUUGUUGCCCCUCUGCGCAAAAACAAACAAACAAACAAACAAAAAACUAUACAGGCAUGAAGGCAACUUAUCCCUGAACAGGAGUGUUCUUGAGAGAUUUUUUUUGGUUUAAAGGUCAGCAUAAUCUUAGACAUCUCUUUUAAUUUAUAGCAUAAAUUUUGUUAAGGGUCCCACAUUCUGUUCUUCAGAUAUAAUUUGUAAUUUUGACUGUACAGGCACAAUGUUUAACUUAUCUUGGCAGUGUGUUGUCAAAUAUUGUUUCAUUGUUUUAUCAUUUGAAGUGGGAGCUCUGA